rnacentral:rRNA from 1 species
GACGAACGCUGGCGGCGUGCUUAACACAUGCAAGUCGAACGAUGAACACGGAGCUUGCUCCGGUGGAUUAGUGGCGAACGGGUGAGUAACACAUGAGUAACCUGCCCUUGACUCUGGGAUAACUGCGGGAAACUGUAGCUAAUACCGGAUACGACCCUCGGCGGCAUCGCCAGGGGGUGGAAAGAAUUUCGGUCAAGGAUGGACUCGCGGCCUAUCAGCUAGUUGGUGAGGUAACGGCUCACCAAGGCGACGACGGGUAGCCGGCCUGUGAGGGUGACCGGCCACACUGGGACUGAGACACGGCCCAGACUCCUACGGGAGGCAGCAGUGGGGAAUAUUGCACAAUGGGCGCAAGCCUGAUGCAGCAACGCCACGUGAGGGAUGACGGCCUUCGGGUUGUAAACCUCUUUUAGUAGGGAAGAAGCGAAAGUGACGGUACCUGCAGAAAAAGCACCGGCUAACUACGUGCCAGCCGCCGCCGUAA